CAGCAGCCACGGGAAUACGAAGGGUGCAAGCGUUACUCGGAAUUACUGGGCGUAAAGCGUGCGUAGGUGGUGGUUUAAGUCCGUUGUGAAAGCCCUGGGCUCAACCUGGGAAUUGCAGUGGAUACUGGGUCACUAGAGUGUGGUAGAGGAUAGUGGAAUUUCCGGUGUAGCAGUGAAAUGCGUAGAGAUCGGAAGGAACAUCUGUGGCGAAGGCGACUAUCUGGGCCAACACUGACACUGAGGUACGAAAGCAUGGGGAGCAAACAGGAUUAGAUACCCGGGUAGUCCCUGUCUCUUAUAC
rnacentral:rRNA from 1 species